GGAUGUAGCUCAGUGGUAGAGCACUUGCCUAGCAUGUGUGAGGCCCUGGGUUGAUCCCCAGCACCA
rnacentral:tRNA from 1 species